AGAGUUUGAUCCUGGCUCAGGACGAACGCUGGCGGCGUGCCUAACACAUGCAAGUCGAACGAGGUUCAUUCGGUAGCAAUACUGAAGAAGACCUAGUGGCGAACGGGUGAGUAGCACGUGAGCAAUCUGCCCCGAAGACCGGGAUAACAGCGGGAAACCGCUGCUAAUACCGGAUAUCCCCACCGGAUCGCAUGUUCUGGUGAGGAAAUGGAUUCCGCUUCGGGAGGAGCUCGCGGCCUAUCAGCUAGUUGGUGAGGUAAUGGCUCACCAAGGCUUCGACGGGUAGCUGGUCUGAGAGGACGAUCAGCCACACUGGGACUGAGACACGGCCCAGACUCCUACGGGAGGCAGCAGUGGGGAAUCUUGCGCAAUGGGCGAAAGCCUGACGCAGCAACGCCGCGUGAGGGACGAAGGCUUUCUGAGUUGUAAACCUCUUUCAGCAGGGACGAUUGUGACGGUACCUGCAGAAGAAGCACCGGCCAACUACGUGCCAGCAGCCGCGGUGAUACGUAGGGUGCAAGCGUUGUCCGGAUUUAUUGGGCGUAAAGAGCUCGUAGGCGGUUUGAUAAGUCGGAUGUGAAACCCCCAGGCUUAACCUGGGGCCGCCAUUCGAUACUGUCAUGACUAGAGUCCGGUAGGGGACCAUGGAAUUCCUGGUGUAGCGGUGAAAUGCGCAGAUAUCAGGAGGAACACCAGCAGCGAAGGCGGUGGUCUGGGCCGGAACUGACGCUGAGGAGCGAAAGCGUGGGGAGCGAACAGGAUUAGAUACCCUGGUAGUCCACGCCGUAAACGUUGGGCACUAGGUGUGGGGUCUAUUCAACGGAUUCCGUGCCGCAGCUAACGCAU
rnacentral:rRNA from 1 species